CUUUCUCCCUCCCUCCUUUCUCUCUUAAAAAAAAUCAACACAACAAAAUUGUAGAACAUAAACUUGGAGGAAAAGUGAACUUUUCCCAAUUCCAGACUCUAGUGUCUCCGUCUGUCAUCCCUUGACCCUCCGACAGCGUCCAUCUGUCAGGCCCUCAUCUCCAGGUCAGACCCGCAGCCAGCAUCACACAGGAGGUGGCUUGCGUGCGGGUGUGAGGGGAAGCCAGCCCACAUCAAAUGCCACAGCCCGAGGCCCCAUGCCCCUGUGCCUGCCUUUCCUGUUAUUCCUCCAGAGCUCUCCUGCCCUGGAUGUUUCUCCUUAUCCCUUCUGCUUGCCUUCUACCAUUGAUCUGGAGGGCAGAAGUCUGGCAGGGCUGCAUACCUUCCAGAGGCUCCAGGGGAGAAUCCAUCCCUUGCCUUUUCCAGCUUCUAGAGACCGUCUGCGUUUCCUGGCUUGUGGACCCACAUCGCCCCAACCUCAUUUCUGUCAUCACAUCUCGUUUGACUCUGAGCCCACCUCCUAUCAGGACCCUGUGGUUACAUUUGGCCCACCUGCAUAAUCCAAGAUAAUCUUCCAUUGCAAGAGCCUCACUUUACUCAUGUCUGCGAAUUCCCUUUGGCCAUGUAAGGUCACACAUGCACAGGCCCCAGGGACUAGGAUGCGGACCUUUUUGGAGGGCCUGUCACACAGCUCUUAGAACGGGAGGCAUCCCCUGCUUCAGCCUUUCCAUCUUCAGGUCCAGAAAGUUUCUUCUCCUAACCACCCAGUCCUUUUCUCUGUGAACGAGGCCGGAACCAGGGGAUCUCCAGAGGUUCUGCUGCUCCUCUAAGGGAGGACAGGGAGGAGGCACCAGGGGUCAGGUUCCUUGUCCGGCUCUCCCUCUUACCGUGCCGGGUUGAAAUCUGAGA